rnacentral:rRNA from 1 species
GGCCUACCAUGCAGUCGAACGGGAUUCACCUUCGGGUGAUGAGAGUGGCGCACGGGUGAGUAACGCGUAUGCAACCUUCCCCAAUCAGGGGGAUAGCCCGGAGAAAUCCGGAUUAAUACCCCAUAUUAUUAUAGUUUCGCAUGGGACUUUAAUGAAAGCUUUGGCGGUUUGGGAUGGGCAUGCGUGGCAUUAGCUUGUUGGUGAGGUAACGGCUCACCAAGGCGACGAUGCCUAGGGGUUCUGAGAGGAUGAUCCCCCACACUGGUACUGAGACACGGACCAGACUCCUACGGGAGGCAGCAGUGAGGAAUAUUGGUCAAUGGGCGCAAGCCUGAACCAGCCAUCCCGCGUGAAGGAAGACUGCCCUAUGGGUUGUAAACUUCUUUUGUACAUGAAGAACGGGCCUUACGUGUAAGGUUAUGACGGUAAUGUACGAAUAAGCAUCGGCUAACUCCGUGCCAGCAGCCGCGGUAAUACGGAGGAUGCGAGCGUUAUCCGGAUUCAUUGGGUUUAAAGGGUACGUAGGUGGCCCUGUAAGUCAGUGGUGAAAACCUGCCGCUUAACGGUAGGCGUGCCAUUGAUACUGCGGGGCUUGAGUACAGAUGAGGUAGGCGGAAUGUGUAGUGUAGCGGUGAAAUGCAUAGAUAUUACACAGAACUCCGAUUGCGAAGGCAGCUUACUAAACUGCAACUGACGCUGAUGUACGAAAGCGUGGGUAGCGAACAGGAUUAGAUACCCUGGUAGUCCACGCCGUAAACGAUGCUCACUGGCUGUAUGCGAUACACAGUAUGUGGCCAAGCGAAAGCGCUAAGUGAGCCACCUGGGGAGUACGCCGGCAACGGUGAAACUCAAAGGAAUUGACGGGGGCCCGCACAAGCGGAGGAACAUGUGGUUUAAUUCGAUGAUACGCGAGGAACCUUACCUGGGCUUAAAUGGGGAGUGACGGACGCUGAAGGUGUCUUUCUUCGGACACUCUUCAAGGUGCUGCAUGGUUGUCGUCAGCUCGUGCCGUGAGGUGUCGGGUUAAGUCCCA